GAGAGGCCCAGGCCGGGGAGGGAGGCGGGGGCAGGCGGAGGUGACAGGACCUGCGGGCCCCGCGAGGGGACAGCGGCGCGGGCGUGUGUCGGCCGGGAGGCGGCCGGCCGACCCAGAGCGCGCGCGCCGGAACGCGACUGCUUUUCUCCGACGGGGAAGCGAGCGGGACUGAUCAGCGGUCGGUUUGUCAGGUUCUGGGUCUUAAUAUUUAUGCAGAGGUGACCGAAAGCCUUGAGCAUGGGAGGAAAAUCUAGAGGAUAUAUGGCUAUCAGCCUAGAACAAGAGAGAACCACCUGACCAGUACCUGGAAUGAAACAUGCAUGCUGGAUGUUAUGCAUUAUGUUCUGAUGGAUUGUACUGAUGAACCCUGUACUUACGCCAUGUGAAUACACAGAGACAAAUAAGAAAAACAUCAUGUGAAAAUAGAGAUUGGAGUGAUGGGUGUCUCCUAGCCAAGAAAUGCCAAGUAACCACCAGAAGCAAGAAGAGAGGCAUAGAGAGUAGAUUCUCCCUCAGAACCUCCUGAGGGCAUCAAACUGCCAACACCUUGAUUUUGGACUUCAGCCUCCAGAAUUGUGAGAGAAUACAUUUCUGUUGUUUUAAGCCACCCAGUUUGUGGUACAGAGGGAAGAAAUUCUGAACCCAGGUCUGCCUCUGAAGCAUUCAGUGGACUUGGCUAUGCUGAAUCUAAGCUACGCUGAGAAGGAUCUCUUAGUAUACAGAACAGACAUCAAAUUUAACCACAGAGACAUUUUACUUAGGAGACCAACUAAGCAACUCCAUGAUUUAUAUCACUGAAAAAAAAAAAAAAACAGUGGCUAUUAAUUAGAAGCUCCCUAAGCUUUCUAUACCUCAUCUAUUCUUUGAGAGACUGCCAAUGAUAAUAUAUCAAGUUAUUUUAAUAUCCAUUCUGUAGAGAUAAUAGUGUUUGUAAUAUUGAGAAAAGUCCUUUGAGAAAUAUAGAUGAAAUAUUUGGUAAAACACCAAAACAGAAUUUUUUAAAGAACACAUUGUCAACAAAUAAAAGAACUACUAAGAGAAUGAGCUCUGCAGCCUCUUGGCAAACUGGGUCUAGAAACACAAAAAGUCCUGCUGUAAGGGUCUAGUAUGGGAAAAGAGGAGCAGGAAUUCGUGGUAUCAAUCUACAGCAGAAAAGAAAUGAAUAUGGGGUUUCCGUGUUGCCCUUUCUGCUGCUGCUUCCCCUUUGCCCUUCUUCCUCCACCUUCAGGCACCCCAGGCCAUUAGCGCAUGAUUCUAAGCUUUCGUUUUCAAUCUUCUACCCUUUUGAGAAUCUGAUGGCAUUACAUGUUGUCUCCACAAAAAUGGUACAUUUGCUCACAUAAUUAUGAAUACCAUUCUAAAAGUAUUUAUGGACUCUUUCCAUCUAGGGAUGGACCUAUGUAUUCCUCAUCCUCUUCAUUAUGAACCUUUGCCUUAACUGCUGACCAAAUCUAAGAAUCAGAUAAGCUCAUCUGUCUUAAAUGCAAUAAGGCUUAAUAUUUGGCUAUUCUCUCCUAGAAGGAAUUUCAAAUCUAGGAUAAUGUCCCCAUCUCAAGAUCCUUAAUCACAUUUGCAAAGUCCCUUUUACCAUAUCAGAGAACAUAUUUACAGGUUCCAGAGAUUAGGAUGCAGACAUCUUUGGGGAACCAUUAUUCAGCCUACCACACUCUACAUCACCUCUUCCUCAACCCUAGUUUUCGUCCUUAUCUGUACCCUUGGACUACUUCAACAUUUCCCUAACUGGCUGACAUGAGUCCCACUUCUUCCAUGAAACCCUCUGGAGGUCCAACCCACAGUUUGACUUCCUAUAGCACUUUUUAUGAACAUGAUGUCCCUAGCAUUUAUUACAUGUUAUUUGUGUGUCUCCACCAGUUUCCCACCAUAUGAUCUUAGAGAAGUCAAUUUCCAUUCUCGUGCCUCUGUUUCCCUAUCUAUAAAACUGAUAAUAUUUGUACUCUCAUCGUAGGAAUGUUCUGAUCUUUCAAUGUAAUAACAAUGCACUUAAAAUGCUCAGCAUACAGCACUUAAUAAAUGUUAACUCCCCUUC